GCUCAACACAUGCAUUGCGAGCGGUCUUUGGGGGCAGCGGCGGACGGGUGAGUAACGCGUGGGAACGUUCCCUUUGGUACGGAACAACUGAGGGAAACUUCAGCUAAUACCGUAUGUGCCCUUCGGGGGAAAGAUUUAUCGCCAUUGGAGCGGCCCGCGUUAGAUUAGCUAGUUGGUAGGGUAAAGGCCUACCAAGGCGACGAUCUAUAGCUGGUCUGAGAGGAUGAUCAGCCACACUGGGACUGAGACACGGCCCAGACUCCUACGGGAGGCAGCAGUAGGGAAUCUUGCGCAAUGGGCGAAAGCUUGACGCAGCCAUGCCGCGUGAAUGAUGAAGGUCUUAGGAUUGUAAAAUUCUUUCACCGGGGACGAUAAUGACGGUACCCGGAGAAGAAGCCCCGGCUAACUUCCUGCCAGCAGCCGCGGUAAUACGAAGGGGGCUAGCGUUGCUCGGAAUUACUGGGCGUAAAGGGAGCGUAGGCGGAUAGUUUAGUCAGAGGUGAAAGCCCAGGGCUCAACCUUGGAAUUGCCUUUGAUACUGGCUAUCUUGAGUAUGGAAGAGGUAUGUGGAACUCCGAGUGUAGAGGUGAAAUUCGUAGAUAUUCGGAAGAACACCAGUGGCGAAGGCGACAUACUGGUCCAUUACUGACGCUGAGGCUCGAAAGCGUGGGGAGCAAACAGGAUUAGAUACCUGGUAGUCCACGCCGUAAACGAUGAGUGCUAGUGUCGGCUGCAUGCUGUCGGGACGCAGCUAACGCAUUAAGCACUCCGCUGGGGAGACGGCGAAGUUAAACUCA
rnacentral:rRNA from 1 species